GAAUAAUGGUAAUUAUGGUAAUUAUAGUCACCAGAACAACUACAGCUUAGUUGUAUUGUUUUGGUGAGUAUAGGCAUUCACCUGCAAGCUUUUUGGAGUCUUUUAAGAGAAAAGGCAGUACUUACAUUACCGCCUAAGGAUACCUCCACUGGCCACUCCUCAGAUAGACAUUAGAGAUGCUUCCUGGGGUAGUGCUGCAUAGUGUGACUGACAUUCAGUGUCUCCACCCUCUGCAUGCAGACACUGAACUUUCCUCAUACAGAUGCAUUGAUUCAAUACAUCUCUGAGGAGAUGCUGAUUGGCGAGGGCGGCGUUUGGCUCCGUCCUGACCCGCUUCCUUGAUGAUCUGAGUCAAUCCAAUGCUUUUCUAUA